rnacentral:rRNA from 1 species
AUACGUAGGGGGCGAGCGUUGUCCGGAAUGAUUGGGCGUAAAGGGCGCGUAGGCGGCCCGGUAAGUCUGGAGUGAAAGUCCUGUUUUUAAGAUGGGAAUUGCUUUGGAUACUGUCGGGCUUGAGUGCAGGAGAGGUAAGUGGAAUUCCCAGUGUAGCGGUGAAAUGCGUAGAGAUUGGGAGGAACACCAGUGGCGAAGGCGACUUACUGGACUGUAACUGACGCUGAGGCGCGAAAGAGUGGGGAGCAAACAGGAGUAGAUACCCGGGUAGUCCACACUGUAAACGAUGAAUACUAGGUGUGCGGGGACUGACCCCCUGCGUGCCGGCGUUAACACAAUAAGUAUUCCACCUGGGGAGUACGAGCGCAAGGUUUAAACUCAAAUGAAUUGACGGGG